UCGAGAAUCUUCGGCAAUGGGGGAAACCCUGACCGAGCGAUGCCGCGUAUGGGAUGAAGGCCCUUGGGUUGUAAACCACUGUCAGAGGGGAUGAAAGCGCAAGCUUGACAGAGCCUCAGAGGAAGCACGGGCUAAGUUCGUGCCAGCAGCCGCGGUAACACGAACUGUGCGAACGUUAUUCGGAAUCACUGGGCUUAAAGGGUGCGUAGGCGGCUAUGCAAGUCAGGUGUGAAAUCCUACAGCUCAACUGUAGAACUGCGCUUGAAACUGCAUGGCUUGAGUGUGACAGGGGUGUGUGGAACUUCCAGUGGAGCGGUGAAAUGUGUUGAUAUUGGAAGGAACACCGGUGGCGAAAGCGACGCACUGGGUCAUUACUGACGCUGAGGCACGAAAGCUAGGGUAGCGAACGGGAUUAGAUACCCGGGUAGUCC
rnacentral:rRNA from 1 species